rnacentral:rRNA from 1 species
AAUAUUUGACAAUGGGGGCAACCCCGAUCCAGCCAAGCCGCGGGAGUGAUGAAGGCCUUUGGGGUGUAAAGCCCUUUCAGUGGGGAAGCUAAUGACGGUACCCACACCAGAAGCCCCGGCUAACUUCGCGCCAGCAGCCGCGGUAAUACGAAGGGGGCUAGCGUUGUUCGGAUUUACUGGGCGUAAAGCGGACGUAGGCGGAUUGGUCAGUUAGGGGUGAAAACCCGGAGCUCAACUACGGAACUGCCUUUAAUACUGCCAGUCUAGAGUCCGGGAGAGGUGAGUGGAACUCCUAGUGUAGAGGUGGAAUUCGUAGAUAUUAGGAAGAACACCAGUGGCGGAGGCGGCUCACUGGCUCGGUACUGACGCUGAGGUGCGAAAGCGUGGGGAGCAAAC